GCCCUGUAGCUCAGCCUGGAUAGAGCGACUGCCUUCUAAGCAGUAGGUCGCAGGUUCAAAUCCUGUCGGGGCCG
rnacentral:tRNA from 1 species